GAUGAACGCUAGCGGGAGGCCUAACACAUGCAAGCCGAGCGGUAUUUCUUCUUCGGAAGAGAGAGAGCGGCGUACGGGUGCGUAACACGUGUGCAACCUGCCUUUAUCUGGGGGAUAGCCUUUCGAAAGGAAGAUUAAUACCCCAUAAUAUAUUUGAUGGCAUCAUUAGAUAUUGAAAACUCCGGUGGAUAGAGAUGGGCACGCGCAAGAUUAGAUAGUUGGUGAGGUAACGGCUCACCAAGUCAAUGAUCUUUAGGGGGCCUGAGAGGGUGAUCCCCCACACUGGUACUGAGACACGGACCAGACUCCUACGGGAGGCAGCAGUGAGGAAUAUUGGACAAUGGGUGAGAGCCUGAUCCAGCCAUCCCGCGUGAAGGACGACGGCCCUAUGGGUUGUAAACUUCUUUUGUACAGGGAUAAACCUACCCUCGUGAGGGUAGCUGAAGGUACUGUACGAAUAAGCACCGGCUAACUCC
rnacentral:rRNA from 1 species